rnacentral:miRNA from 1 species
UUGUGAUUUGGUUGGAAUAUC